UAAUAAGUGUUUUAUGGCACUUUUAAAUCCAUAUCCACCUCGUGUGCAAUGUCAGUCGAUCUUCUUCAUGGAGAUCGACCAAACAUCAACCUUUAUCUUUUAACUCUUUGUCUGAAAAAUAUUAUGAAUAAACAAUUCAAAAUA
rnacentral:misc_RNA from 1 species